AGCGAACGUUAGCGGCACGCCUAACACAUGCAAGUCGCACGAGAAAGGGAGCAAUCCUGAGUAGAGUGGCGCACGGGUGCGUAACACGUAGAUAACCUGCCCUUUGGAGGGGGAUAACGUUCCGAAAGGAGCGCUAAUGCCGCAUACAGCAAGAGCCGGUUUGCCGGUUUUUGGCAAAGGUAGGGACCCGCAAGGGCCUACCGCCAGAGGAGGGGUCUGCGGCCCAUCAGCUAGUUGGGAGGUAAUGGCUCACCAAGGCAGAGACGGGUAGCUGGUCUGAGAGGAUGAUCAGCCACACUGGUACUGGAACACGGACCAGACUCCUACGGGAGGCAGCAGUGGGGAAUCUUGGUCAAUGGGCGCAAGCCUGAACCAGCGAUGCCGCGUGAGUGAUGACGGCCU
rnacentral:rRNA from 1 species